GCAAGUCGAACGGUAAGGCACCUUCGGGUGUACACGAGUGGCGGACGGGUGAGUAACGCGUGGGAAUUUACCCAAUAGUACGGAAUAACCCUUGGAAACGAGAGCUAAUACCGUAUAUUCCAGGCUUGCCUGGGAAAGAUUUAUCGCUAUUGGAUGAGCCCGCGUCCGAUUAGCUUGUUGGUAAGGUAAUGGCUUACCAAGGCUAUGAUCGGUAGCUGAUCUGAGAGGAUGAUC
rnacentral:rRNA from 1 species